GACCGAUAGCGAAGUAGUACCGUGAGGGAAAGGGGAAAAGAACCCCCAGUGGGUAGUGAAAUAGAACGUGAAACCGUGCUGAGCUCCCAAGCAGUGGGAGGGGAAAGUGAUCUCUGACCGCGUGCCUGUUGGAGAAUGAGCCGGCGACUCAUAGGCAGUGGCUUGGUUAAGGGAACGGAACCCACCGGAGCCGUAGCGAAAGCGAGUCUUAAUAGGGCGAUUGUCACUGCUUAUGGACCCGAACCUGGG
rnacentral:ncRNA from 1 species